CAUUCACACAGCAGAUUGAGGAGCUGAAAAGACAGAUUGAAGAGGAGGUUAAGGCCAAGAAUGCUCUUGCCCAUGGACUGCAAUCAGCCCGC